rnacentral:lncRNA from 10 species
UAAUAGAACAUUCAAGAGGAAAUCUCCUAUCCAACCACCAUGGAAUUUACCUGCUGUGAUGAGGUUUUACAGGAUGCCAAGUGCCACUCUAAAGCAAGGAACUAAACCAUCUAUACAGAAAUUGCAUUUGGGGUGCUCUUUUGCCAGCAUUAUUCCACUUCAUCCUAAAAAAGAAAAGGACACAUCCUGGAUAUCCAUAAGCAGCAGCCAUGUUCCUUUGUUGGAGACACACAUUCUGAAUGUCUGGAGACCACUGCACUAGCAUAAUAUAAUGUUUCUCAGAAAAAUAAUUUGCCAAGUGAGUUUGUGUGGCAGAACCUAAAGGCAAGUCCAUGUCUCACGUGGAGCCAAGACCAUGCUUUUUCCCAUGUCUCACAGCCACUCUAGAGAACUUUUAGGAGACAUUCAGUUGGCAGUACGUGCAUGACACUUUACCACCGAAGAUUGUGUCUAUUCUUCCAUUGCCUUGAAUUUGACCAGUAGUCACAAGGAGAGGCACUGGAGCACCAGAUAUAUGAAUGAAGAAACUACCUUGGCAUCCAGCCUAGUUGAGCCUUUGGAUAAGUCCAGCCUCAGCCCUAUCAUACUGCAACUGCAUGAACGACCCCAAAGAAGAGCCAUCCAGAAGAACAAAGUAAAUUUGAGACG